UCUGAGGCUAGGCCAUAAAAAAAUAUAUAGCUUCUACUCAGCUCUUUCUUGGCCAGCUACGAAGUCAGGAGGGCACUCAAGUAGACAGUGGAAAAACUCAUGUGAAAACGGACCAAGGCCUCCUGACAACAGUCAGCACCAACUUGCAGCCAUCCAUCCCAACCUUCAGCAACCACUGUCCUGAUCAGUCAGCAGUCAUCCACAUUGACGCAAGACGCUCCACCAGCAAAAGGAUUACAACUUGCUGAAGGAAUCGAAUGAAACCAGCCUCUUCCAGGCACAGGAGACUCCUAGACGUGCCGGUGGCCUUCGGCCGGUGCCUGAGCAACACACCGAUCCUGAUCUCGCAACGCAAAGACAGACCAAGCGCCGCAAAGAAGUUGUAGGGCUGUGAGAUGCUCCAGCUCUGCCCUCGGAGAAACGCACUUCAGUGUUAAACCCCAGGGUUCCUCUCAGGCGGAGCAGUGAGCAUGGAGAGCCGGGUCUGGGGCAGAGCCCUCGCCAGACAAAUGGGGCUGGAUCUGUGGCUUUGUAGCUCACAGCCAGGGUAAUAUUUCAAAA